rnacentral:lncRNA from 1 species
GUGUCGUCGGCCUCAAUUGCAGCGAGUUGAUUGAGGGCUACAAAUGAGCUUUUGAGGAAGAUUUUCCUGCAAUGCUAAUUACAUAGUAUGGAUUAGCUAGUAUCAGUACAAUUGCAUUCUUACUUAAAUUAUGCAUAUGAAAAUGAAGAACAAUUAUUUAUUUGCAUUUGGGAAAGUCAAUAUUCAGCACCCAUGCAGUGACCGGUGAUGUGUUAAACCAUACAAUAUGAUACAACCAUAUGUGAUAAUCAAGUCAGUAUGGCAACUAAACAAAAACAUGUAUAUUGUGCAUAGGGUAUAAAUAGUACUACCUCAGUUCCUAAAUAUAAGACAUUUAAACUGCCAAAACGUCUUAUAUUUAGCAACAGAGGAUGUACAUAUGAACAUUUAGAGCCACAGACAUAGACUGCCAAUGCCAGAUAAGAGAACAGUCUUCCAUCAUAUGUGGCUCUUUUUCACAGAAAGUUUGGUUACUACUACAGCGCAAGGUCUCAACACUGUGGCAGCGUAAUAAAGAAUUCCACAGAUGCUCAGAUUUUCAGAACUUGUCAUCAUAAUCUUAUACUCCGAAUAUGCAUACCUAGCAUGAUUCUAAGUUUGGUUGUAGCAGUAAUCAUGCCAAUGAAGAAAGUAUUAUGGUGGUGGAAAUAAGUAGAAGAUAGUCUUCUUCUGGGAUCUGCAAUAAUACUCGCUUAGGAAGAACUGCAAGAUACAAGGCAUACAUACUCAGAUGAGAGAGCAGAUCUGCGGGCUGAGCAUUUGUGGUAAGGUGAACUGAAGUGACGCAUGAAUGUAUCUCGAGGAAGACGACCUCAGAAUGAACCCGUCGCUACCCUUCGCCUCCGACAAACACCGCAUCAACAGAUUGAUUGGAAUAUCAAUUCCUAAAAAGCAUGAUCAUACACAGAAGUAUACUGAUUCCAAUGAUGGGCUUCUAUAUGAAACCAAAUUUUAAAUAUACUGAACUCUUUUGCAUCAGAUUAAAAUUAGCAAAAAAAAUGAUGGUAAAUCUAAUAUCAUAUCCAAAUACAACUUUGUGCUCAGCAGUACCUACAAUCUAACGCAGCUGAUCCAUCAAAGAAAGUAUAUACAUUACCUACAAUCGAACGCAGCUGAUCCAUCAAAGAACGUAUAUACAGGAAAGGCUAGUCUAACACAAAGUCUAAAAGGUAAACUAAACCUACAUCCAGUUGAUAGAAAAGAAAAGGCAUCAUGCGUGUAUUGGGCAGAGCAAAUCAGGUCAAGAUUAAAAUUAGCUAAAUAUAAAAAUUUGGGAAUGCUAAAUACCAAAAAAUGACUUGGCAAAGCUGAUCAAUACAAUAAAUCAAAAUCAAUUCGCAAAAGGCAUGAACCUUUGUGGUCUUCGAGAAAAGACCAACAUCUUUCUCCCCUAUAACUAAUUAUACUUGUACACUCACAAAUAUAUGUGCUAAAUACCACAAAAUGACUUGGCAAAGCUGAUCAAUACAAUAAAUCAAAAUCAAUUCGCAAAAGGCAUGAACCUUUGUGGUCUUCGAGAAAAGACCAACAUCUUUCUCCCCUAUAACUAAUUAUACUUGUACACUCACAAAUAUAUACAAGCCUCAAAGGUAAAGUGUCGUGGGUGUGUGACUACCAAUUCAUCCGAAGAUAUAUAUUACAGUAAAUUAUUGCACAAUGUUACUUCCGAAACAUGGAUAGAAUAUGGAAUAUUUACCUUAACAAAUUCUUGCAUAAACAGCAAAGUCUGUACUAAUUGAUGCUAGUUCUCUUGCCACAAGAACAAACCAGGUCAUCUAAACAGGCAAGGUUACGUAUAGAAACCCACAUCGCUCUAGCCACUGCCAAUACACUUGAUUUCGCUCGGAUCUCAUUUUCCUCAUCCAACGCCAUCUCCAAGUCCCUGUGGUGAGGACAAGAGAUGAGGAGGCAUCGACCAAUAGAAGGUGCAUCAACGAGGAAGAAAGGACACACACACACAACAAGUCCACAGCAGCAAGAAUCGAGGGGAGCAAGGAUCGGGAACAAAUCACGUACUUACCUUGCUAGGGCAUGUCCUAGGUUGUGGAUCCAGUUUGGGCACAGGUCAUGGGAAGAGACGCCUGUUGUGGAGGCACGAGCACCUGCGGACCGCCUUCCCUCCAGCAGCGGCGUGGUCAAGCCCAUAUUCAUCGGGGCUGAACCCCGGAUGUUGACGUCCCGCCUGUGACCCUUCUGUUCGAGGAGAAGCGAACACACGCGUGGAAGGAUCCAGUCGGAUCCGUACGAAGAAGAGGAGGAGAGGCGGCGCUGGUGGAGGAGAAGGAGGAGAGGUGGCGCUGGUGGAGAAGGAGAAGGAGAAGGGGGCGUGGCGGCGGAGAGAGGGAGAGGAGGAGACGAGGCGUGGGAUAUGGG